rnacentral:rRNA from 1 species
CCUACGGGUGGCAGCAGUGGGGAAUAUUGGACAAUGGGCGAAAGCCUGAUCCAGCCAUGCCGCGUGUGUGAAGAAGGCCUUCGGGUUGUAAAGCACUUUCAGUGGGGAAGAAAGCCUUGGGGCUAAUACCCUCGAGGAAGGACAUCACCCACAGAAGAAGCACCGGCUAACUCCGUGCCAGCAGCCGCGGUAAUACGGAGGGUGCGAGCGUUAAUCGGAAUUACUGGGCGUAAAGCGCGCGUAGGCGGUCUGAUAAGCCGGUUGUGAAAGCCCCGGGCUCAACCUGGGAACGGCAUCCGGAACUGUCAGGCUAGAGUGCAGGAGAGGAAGGUAGAAUUCCCGGUGUAGCGGUGAAAUGCGUAGAGAUCGGGAGGAAUACCAGUGGCGAAGGCGGCCUUCUGGACUGACACUGACGCUGAGGUGCGAAAGCGUGGGUAGCAAACAGGAUUAGAUACCCCGGUAGUC